rnacentral:rRNA from 1 species
UUCGCAAUGCCCGAAAGGGUGACGAAGCGACGCCGCGUGGGUGAGGAAGGCCUUCGGGUUGUAAAGCCCUGUCAGGAGUUAUGAAAUGUAAGUGCGCUAAUACCGUGCUUAUUUGACAAAGGCUCCAAAGGAAGCCACGGCUAACUCUGUGCCAGCAGCCGCGGUAAUACAGAGGUGGCGAGCGUUGUUCGGAAUUAUUGGGCGUAAAGAGCACGUAGGUGGGUUUGCAAGUCAGAUGUGAAAGCCUUCUGUUCAACGGAAGAAUUGCAUCUGAAACUGCUAAUCUUGAGUAUAGGAGGGGAGAAUGGAACUUCUGGUGGAGCGGUGAAAUGCGUAGAUAUCAGAAGGAACGCCGGCGGCGAAAGCGAUUCUCUGGCCUAUUACUGACACUCAGUGUGCGAAAGCUAGGGGAGCAAACGGGAUUAGAUACCCCGGUAGUCCUAGCCGUAAACGAUGGGCACUAAGUAGAGGGGUUUU